rnacentral:tRNA from 1 species
CCUGGUGGCUCAGAGGUUAAAGCAUCUGCCUGGAAUGCAGGAGACCCGGGGUCGAUCCCUGAGUCAGGA